UACGUACCGUCCAAACGUUAUUCGGAAUUACUGGGCUUAAAGGGUACGUAGGCGGCGCUGUCAGUCGGGUGUGAAAUCCCUCGGCUCAACCGAGGAACUGCGCCCGAUACUGCAGUGCUUGAGGGAGACAGAGGUAAGCGGAACUGAUGGUGGAGCGGUGAAAUGCGUUGAUAUCGUCAGGAACACCGGUGGCGAAAGCGGCUUACUGGGUCUCUUCUGACGCUGAGGUACGAAAGCUAGGGGAGCGAAGGG
rnacentral:rRNA from 1 species